GACGAACCUUGCAAACGUUAUUCGGAAUUACUGGGCGUAAAGGGCGCGUAGGCGGUUGGAUAAGUCAGCUGUGAAAACCACGAGCUCAACUUGUGGCCUGCAGUUGAAACUGUCUGGCUAGAGUGUGGGAGAGGGAAGUGGAAUUCCUGGUGUAGCGGUGAAAUGCGUAGAUAUCAGGAGGAACACCGGUGGCGAAGGCGGCUUCCUGGACCACAACUGACGCUGAGGCGCGAAAGCUAGGGGAGCAAACAGG
rnacentral:rRNA from 1 species